UACGUAGGUGACAAGCGUUGUCCGGAUUUACUGGGCGUAAAGAGCGCGCAGGCGGUCGUUCAAGUCGAGUGUGAAAGCCCCCGGCUCAACUGGGGAGGGUCAUUCGAUACUGAUCGACUCGAAGGCAGGAGAGGGAAGUGGAAUUCCCGGUGUAGUGGUGAAAUGCGUAGAUAUCGGGAGGAACACCAGUGGCGGAAGGCGACUUCCUGGCCUGUUCUUGACGCUGAGGCGCGAAAAGCUGAGGGGAGCAAACGGGG
rnacentral:rRNA from 1 species